CAAGAAGUAGCUUACAUAAAAGCACUUAACUUACAAUUAAGAGACGCCCGUCACUGGACCUCCUUGA
rnacentral:tRNA from 1 species